AAGCAACACUCUGUGGCAGAUGAUCAAAACUGUCUGACACAAUUUGAGCUUGCUAUAGUAACAGAGUCUGACCUAUUCCGGCACUCUCUCUUCUAUGAGACAAGCCGUUAUAUAGACUUAGACAGU